rnacentral:SRP_RNA from 1 species
GCCAAGCGUGGUGGCGCAUGCCUGUAAUCCCAGCUACUCAGGAGGCUGAGGCAGGAGAAUCGCUUGAACCCAGGAGGCGGAGGUUGCAGUGAGCUGAGAUCGUGCCAUUGCACUCCAGCCUGGGUGACAGAGCGAGAUUCUGUCUCAA